GCAUAUCAAUAAGCGGAGGAAAAGAAACCAACAGGGAUUGCCCUAGUAACGGCGAGUGAAGCGGCAACAGCUCAAAUUUGAAAUCUGGCCUCGGCCCGAGUUGUAAUUUGUAGAGGAAGCUUUUGGCGCGGCACCUUCUGAGUCCCCUGGAACGGGGCGCCAUAGAGGGUGAGAGCCCCGUAUAGUUGGAUGCCUAGCCUCUGUAAAGCUCCUUCGACGAGUCGAGUAGUUUGGGAAUGCUGCUCAAAACGGGAGGUAAAUUUCUUCUAAAGCUAAAUACCGGCCAGAGACCGAUAGCGCACAAGUAGAGUGAUCGAAAGAUGAAAAGCACUUUGAAAAGAGGGUUAAAUAGCACGUGAAAUUGUUGAAAGGGAAGCGCUUGUGACCAGACUUGCGCCGGGCUGAUCAUCCGGUGUUCUCACCGGUGCACUCUGCCCGGCUCAGGCCAGCAUCGGUUCUCGCGGGGGGAUAAAGGCCCUGGGAACGUAGCUCCUCCGGGAGUGUUAUAGCCCAGGGCGCAAUGCCCUCGCGGGGACCGAGGUUCGCGCUCUGCAAGGAUGCUGGCGUAAUGGUCAUCAGCGACCCGUCUUGAAACACGGACC
rnacentral:rRNA from 2 species